CAGCGACUCGGCGGUUCUGCCACCGCGGCCGCGGCGAUGCUCCGGCAAUAUUCAGUAUUUCUAGGUGCCAUGGCCGAGUUCGGGCGGCGGAGCCUCGUGAUCGCGUGGAUGGAGGUCGAGUCGGCUUCUUCCGGCGCAGGGUUUCCACGAGAAUAACAGGAUGAUCUGGUCCCUGAGUCAGUCAGACAAUGGUUUGUGUACUCGCUUCGCAAUGGUGGUGUUGAGCCUUUGAGAUGAUUUCCACUAUAAUGGUACGUAGUACAAAUUUGGGAUCUGAAAUUUGUAGUCCUUGAGUAAAUGUGUGCUCUUCGAUCCUUGGGAAAAACUAGAUUAAAGUUUAUUUGAGAUAGUUUGUAUGUGCUUUAGUAUCUAGCGAAAUGCAAUGGCGCUAGUUCUGUGGUUCAUUUAUUUGUGCUUACCAGUUACUGCUACUUCCGAGUUGGAUUUUCUGGUACCCUUUGGCCUGACUCGUGCUCUACUGUCCUUAAACAUAACAAUCACCAAGCGUAAGAUACUCAAUCUGAUUGUUGAUGCUUUCAUCUUUCAGAAUCUUAGAGUUUAUCGCUGAUAAAAGGGUAUGUGAUGUACUACGAGUACAAGCAUUUUCACUUCUGCGUUUCUGUCAGUCAUUCAUGGACAUGAGAAACUUAUCCCCGUUCAUCCGAUCCAAAAAAGAAAAAACCGGAACAUAUUCCUAUGUACUUUUUGGUACUCCCUAACUGUUGUUCAUUGUGCUCUUUGUCACUUCUUCCCUGGCUGCUGCCCUCUAUUGAUGCCCUGUAGGAUGUUGAGGUUCCACGACAUGAGAGGACCUGAAAAGUUGAAAAACAUGUUUCCAUUUGGCAUGUUUAUUAUACUCUGUAACAGGUUCAGAGGGCAUAGUGCUGCUCCAGUGUAAUUUGGUACUUUCCACAAGACACAUUGAUUGAUAUGUGCAUCGUCUUCAUUAAUGUGUCUAAUUCCUGCUUGAUAGCAUGUCAGUAUACAACUGACGGGGUAAGUAAAAUCUCAUUCAGUUAGUUUUGCAGAGUGACACAGUUGUGGACUGGACAUAGGAGACAACUCAGAACGCCCUGAAUUCUAGAUAUCUCAUGAUCCAAGUGAAAGAAAUCAAACAAAAAGAAAUACUGCAGGCCAGUCAAACCUUCUCGUUUGAAUAGGAGUUUUCAAAAGCAUUUAAGGUGUCCCUUUGUUUUCUGUGACAAAUUUGUUUCUCUUUUGUGCAAGACAUGUUGGUCCAACACACCACGUGAGAACUCCAAUGAGUACUCAUGCUGGUGGCUGCAAAUGCGCGUCAGGCCUCAAACUAUUUUGCUGAAAGAUGUUGGUCCAACACACCACGUGAGAACUCCAAUGAGUGCUGCCCUGGAAAGCAGGAAAUGCUGGUUCCAAGAUCCAACACAGUCUCAAAGAAAAUGGCAAGGAGUGGGCUAUAUGUCUCCUUUCAUAAAAAAAAAGGGGGACAACAAUGCUGGCCAGUCACACGGUAUUUUGGUGCUUUCGAUGGGAACGUCUUCAGAUCCAUUUUUCGCUGACGCUGAGGCCUACAGAUUUCCUCUGUUCAAGGUUGGCAAGUGCUGUGGGGUUGUACAAUGUUUCUGACUCGAGACUUUUGGAUCAAACCUUUGCAAGCAUAGUCCCGAAUCUAACUUUUUGUUGCAAAUGCACACAUGUGGUACAUUGGGUUUGGUGGGCAAAUAUAAAGGGGGGGCCUCCUACUGUUUGCGUUGGCUACUUCCGGGGAGCUCCUCCCUUCGCAGCAUUUGAUUCCCGCCUCUCGCGGGCAGGGGAGCUUUUAAAGUGCCUGGCAAACCUGUUGCCUCCGCUGGUCCUCUCCACGUUCUGGUUCUGAUUGGCGCCGAAGAUUCCUGGUUGGUAUAACGUUGCAUCAUCAGCCGGAAUGGUUUCCGGGCUAACCGAACGAGCCCUAAAUCAUUCCAUACUAGUACAUGACCAAUCAGGUUAACAAAUUUUCGUCCUGAUGAAAUCAUGACACACACUUUUCCAGAUUUGUUGUGAGUUUAUAUAUGGUAAGACAUUGCUUCGAAAUGGAAAGGUCCUCAGUGUAUCGUCCU